GUUAGACAAUUUUGACUUAAACUAAGAGUAUUAUUAUGCUCUCAAUUUGAGGAGUUCGAGGAACACAAGGAGGCAGAGGAUGGCUGCGACAACGAAGAUCCGCAAGGGGGAGAUGACGAGGAUCUGAGAAGGAGGCGCAAGCUACUUUGUCUUUGAAUUAGGGAUUUGGCGUGUCGCACGAGGAACAUGCAGAACUAGAUCUUGGAUUAGGCUGAGAUUCUGAUGGGCCUCGAGGACAAUUCCAUCGUGUUCUGCCUCCAGUUGCCAGAAUCUGACCGCUACGUUUGAAAUCCCGAGGUUUACGUCGACGACGGCAGAGUACGAGGCUCCCAGAGUACGAGAUUCUGAUGGGCCUCAACGACAGCAGAAUCUGACCACUGUUGUUUCAAUGCCCGAAGGACGGUUUCAAUGCUCAACAACUUGCUAUUGUUUCUGCAUCAGAUGUAGUACCUUUUACAAAUGGAAGUGAAGAUCCCCAAUCCCAUACACAAGAUUCUAAGGUUGGAAAUGUAAUUAAAGUGUUGGAAUUGAAAAUACCAGCUAUAUCAAUAUCCUUGAGAAGUCAUAAUUAAUUCUUUUGACCCCGAGGAGGAAUCUUCUAAACAUCAAGAUAGUCUCACAAUUUCAAAGCAAAAUAGGGAUGCAAAUGGAAAUGGAGCAAUUGUUCAGGUGCUAAAAAAGCCUACUGGUGCUUAUAGGGAACUCCUUGGGAAUUCUACUUCAAAGAGGAAGCUUGGUCCUGAUAAGAUGCAGGCUUGGGAGGAGAUUUUGAUACCAAGAAAAGAACCACAGGCUACAUUUUUACUUUGGGAGGUACUGCUGUAAGUUAGAAGUCUAAACUUCAACAUAGAGUUGCUCUCUCAACCAUGGAAGCCGAGUACAUAGCUAUCUCAAAAGCAGCUAAAGAGAUGAUUUGGCUAAAGAAUUUUCUCAAUGAAUUAGGGAAAGAACAAGACAAUGCUUCAAUGUUCAGUGACAGACUAACAGUCAAAGUGCUAUAAGUCUUGCUAAGAAUCCAGUCUUCCAUUCUAGAUGCAAGCAUAUUCAAUUAAGAUACCAUUUUAUCAGGGUGUUGAUAAAUGAUGGAGACUUACCUUUGCUGAAGAUCUUAGGAUCAGAGAAUCCAGCAUAUAUGUUGACUAAAGUUGUUACAACUAACAAGUUGAGGCUUUGCAUUGCCUCAGUUAGCCUUCGAGGAUAAUUAAAGAUGAAGGUGCUACACUAGGUAAAGAGUCGAUGAACUCAUGGCUUACAAGGAGCUGUUAGAGUUUGGAGCUUAGACCCCAAGUGGGAGAAUUGUUAUAGUUUUGUGGUCUUAGUUCCUUUGUCCCACAUCGCUUGAUUUGUAAAAACUUGUGUCUCAUUAGUGUUAUAUAUAGAGACACCUUGUAAGCUUUAAAAUGUGCAAGUAACAAAAAAGUUUUCUUAGUGUAA